rnacentral:rRNA from 1 species
UACGGAAGGCAGCAGUGGGGAAUAUUGCACAAUGGGCGCAAGCCUGAUGCAGCCAUGCCGCGUGUAUGAAAAGGCCUUCGGUUGUAAAGUACUUUCAGUCGUGAGGAAGGUGUUAAGGUUAAUAACCUUAGUCAAUUGACGUUAGCGACAGAAGAAGCACCGGCUAACUCCGUGCCAGCAGCCGCGGUAAUACGGAGGGUGCGAGCGUUAAUCGGAAUUACUGGGCGUAAAGGGCACGCAGGCGGUUUAAUUAAGUUGGAUGUGAAAUCCCCGGGCUUAACCUGGGAAUGGCAUUCAAGACUGGUUAAGCUAGAGUCUUGUAGAGGGGGUAGAAUUCCAUGUGUAGCGGUGAAAUGCGUAGAGAUGUGGAGGAAUACCGGUGGCGAAGGCGGCCCCUGGACAAAGACUGACGCUCAUGUGCGAAAGCGUGGGGAGCAAACAGGGAUUAGAUACC